CAGAAAUAAAAUCUUCUUAAGCCUGGACAAUAAGCAUGAUUAGCAGUGGAGAGCAAUGCCUGAGUGUAUGAGCUUGGAGAUUUUGAGCAUGUUGCUGGAUCUUUGUGUCUCUCUUCACUUGUGAAAUGAGGAGAUGCUAUGAAUCUGUUAAGCUCCUGGGGGAAAGCAAAGAAGGUAUUAAUUAUAGGACCACACUUCAGACAUUGCCAAGCCACUAUAGGUCCUCAAAAAUUGGCAUUUCUUUCCAUUUAUUCAUAGUAAGUAUAAUAAUCUUGGAAAUUUAAAAACAGCUCCUUCAAUUACCAAUUAGAGAAACUUGAAGAAAGCCAAGGUUCCCUAACUCAAAUGAUUUACCCAGUUCCAAUGGGAUCCUUAAAAGUUUUAUUCCCAUCUAUUUUUUCUCAUUAAAACUUUCAUUUGGAGUGUAGUUUUAAGAAAUCAAAUAAAUGCCCCAAGUAUAAUUCAUGUUUUCACUUCCCCACAAGAGUAAAAUUUGAUCAGAGUUUAAACAGCCACCUGACAAAGACAUUUGCAAACUGCUGUGGAAAUGCACACUGUUUUCUGACGCUGUUAGAAACCCUGCCUGCAACACUUAUAUUUUAGAUUGAGUUCAACAUAUUGCCACUUCCGGGUUGAAAGAUUCUUCAGGGUUUUGCCAUGUGGUAAGCUAGAAAGUCUGAUUUUGUACUCUAAAAUCUAAAAUGAGGGCUGCCAAAAGGAUUAAAGCCUCUUAGUUGAAAGCAAAACCAAUAUGAAUAAUAAGUGAUACUUUACCAUUCAUUAUGCAGCUAUAUUCAGGUAACUUUGCAGAAAUGAUGAGUAACUUAGGAACUUUUGCUUAGAAACAUUUAAAUUUUUUUUGGAACUGUUCUGUUCCUGAUUUGAAUAAUUAUCGGAAUACAUGAAUACAUAAAUAAUUUGGUUAAAUGUGUUGUGUGAUUUUAAUAACCUGAAUUUUAAAAAUACAACUUUUACUCUUUGACGGAAUCUCU
rnacentral:lncRNA from 1 species